CCUACGGGAGGCAGCAGUGAGGAAUAUUGGGCAAUGGGCGAGAGCCUGAACCAGCCAAGUAGCGUGAAGGAUGACUGCCCUACGGGUUGUAAACUUCUUUUAUAAAGGAAUAAAGUGAGGCACGUGUGCCUUUUUGUAUGUACUUUAUGAAUAAGGAUAGGCUAACUCCUUGCCAGCAGCCGCGGUAAUACGGAGGAGCCGAGCGUUAUCCGGAUUGAUUGGGUUUAAAGUGAGCGUAGAUGGGUUGUUAAGUCAGUUGUGAAAGUUUCCGGCUCAACCGUAAAAUUGCAAUUGAUACUGGCAGUCUUGAGUACAUUUGAGGUAGGCGGAAUUCGUGGUGUAGCGGUGAAAUGCUUAGAUAUCACGAAGAACUCCGAUUGCGAAGGCAGCUUACUAAACUGCCACUGACAUUGAUGCUCGAAAGUGUGGGUAUCAAACAGGAUUAGAUACCCUAGUAGUC
rnacentral:rRNA from 1 species